rnacentral:rRNA from 1 species
CAAGUCGAGCGGUAACAGGAGAAGCUUGCUUCUUGCUGACGAGCGGCGGACGGGUGAGUAAUACUUAGGAAUCUGCCCAGUAGUGGGGGAUAGCUCGGGGAAACUCGAAUUAAUACCGCAUACACCCUACGGGGAAAAGGGGGCGCUUGCGCUCUCGCUAUUGGAUGAGCCUAAGUCGGAUUAGCUAGUUGGUGGGGUAAAGGCCUACCAAGGCGACGAUCUGUAGCUGGUCUGAGAGGAUGAUCAGCCACACCGGGACUGAGACACGGCCCGGACUCCUACGGGAGGCAGCAGUGGGGAAUAUUGGACAAUGGGGGCAACCCUGAUCCAGCCAUGCCGCGUGUGUGAAGAAGGCCUUUUGGUUGUAAAGCACUUUAAGCAGUGAAGAAGACUCUAUGGUUAAUACCCAUAGACGAUGACAUUAGCUGCAGAAUAAGCACCGGCUAACUCUGUGCCAGCAGCCGCGGUAAUACAGAGGGUGCAAGCGUUAAUCGGAAUUACUGGGCGUAAAGCGAGCGUAGGUGGCUUAAUAAGUCAGAUGUGAAAUCCCCGGGCUUAACCUGGGAACUGCAUCUGAUACUGUUAGGCUAGAGUAGGUGAGAGGGAGGUAGAAUUUCAGGUGUAGCGGUGAAAUGCGUAGAGAUCUGAAGGAAUACCGAUGGCGAAGGCAGCCUCCUGGCAUCAUACUGACACUGAGGUUCGAAAGCGUGGGUAGCAAACAGGAUUAGAUACCCUGGUAGUCCACGCCGUAAACGAUGUCUACUAGUCGUUGGGGAACUUGAUUCCUUAGUGACGCAGCUAACGCAAUAAGUAGACCGCCUGGGGAGUACGGCCGCAAGGUUAAAACUCAAAUGAAUUGACGGGGGCCCGCACAAGCGGUGGAGCAUGUGGUUUAAUUCGAUGCAACGCGAAGAACCUUACCUGGUCUUGACAUAUCUAGAAUCCUGCAGAGAUGCGGGAGUGCCUUCGGGAAUUAGAAUACAGGUGCUGCAUGGCUGUCGUCAGCUCGUGUCGUGAGAUGUUGGGUUAAGUCCCGCAACGAGCGCAACCCUUUUCCUUAGUUACCAGCGGUUUGGCCGGGGACUCUAAGGAUACUGCCAGUGACAAACUGGAGGAAGGCGGGGACGACGUCAAGUCAUCAUGGCCCUUACGACCAGGGCUACACACGUGCUACAAUGGUAGGUACAGAGGGCUGCUACACAGCGAUGUGAUGCGAAUCUCAAAAAGCCUAUCGUAGUCCAGAUUGGAGUCUGCAACUCGACUCCAUGAAGUCGGAAUCGCUAGUAAUCGCGGAUCAGAAUGCCGCGGUGAAUACGUUCCCGGGCCUUGUACACACCGCCCGUCACACCAUGGGAGUUGAUUGCACCAGAAGUGGGUAGCCUAACUUUUAGAGGGCGCUCACCACGGUGUGGUCGAUGACUGGGG